rnacentral:rRNA from 1 species
GACGAACGCUGGCGGCGUGCCUAAUACAUGCAAGUCGAGCGGACUUGACAGAGCUUGCUCUGUUCAAGUUAGCGGCGGACGGGUGAGUAACACGUGGGCAACCUGCCCUGCAGAUUGGGAUAACUCCGGGAAACCGGGGCUAAUACCGAAUAAUAUGGAAAACCUCAUGGUUUUCUUUUAAAAGGCGGCUUCGGCUGUCACUGCAGGAUGAGCCCGCGGCGCAUUAGCUAGUUGGUGAGGUAACGGCUCACCAAGGCGACGAUGCGUAGCCGACCUGAGAGGGUGAUCGGCCACACUGGGACUGAGACACGGCCCAGACUCCUACGGGAGGCAGCAGUAGGGAAUCUUCCGCAAUGGACGAAAGUCUGACGGAGCAACGCCGCGUGAGUGAAGAAGGUUUUCGGAUCGUAAAACUCUGUUGUUAGGGAAGAACAAGUACCGGAGUAACUGCCGGUACCUUGACGGUACCUGACCAGAAAGCCACGGCUAACUACGUGCCAGCAGCCGCAGUAAUAC